rnacentral:tRNA from 1 species
GGGCCCAUAGCUUAGCUAGGUAGAGCGUCUGGCUCAUAACCAGGAGGUCAUGGGUUCGAAUCCCAUUGGGCCCA